ACGAACGCUGGCGGCGUGCUUAACACAUGCAAGUCGAACGGAAAGGCCCUGCUUUUGUGGGGUGCUCGAGUGGCGAACGGGUGAGUAACACGUGAGUAACCUGCCCCUGACUUUGGGAUAACUUCAGGAAACUGGGGCUACUACCGGAUAGGAGCUCCUGCUGCAUGGUGGGGGUUGGAAAGUUUCGGCGGUUGGGGAUGGACUCGCGGCUUAUCAGCUUGUUGGUGGGGUAGUGGCUUACCAAGGCUUUGACGGGUAGCCGGCCUGAGAGGGUGACCGGCCACAUUGGGACUCAGAUACGGCCCGGAGUCCUACGGGAGGCAGCAGUGGGGACUAUUGCACAAUGGGCGGAAGCCUGAUGCAGCAACGCCGCGUGCUGGAUGACGGCCUUCGUGUUGUAAACCGCUUUCGCCUGUGACGAAGCGUGAGUGACGGUAAUGGGUAAAGAAGCACCGGCUAACUACGUG
rnacentral:rRNA from 1 species